rnacentral:lncRNA from 1 species
UCCAUCACAAUUACUAGAAGAUGAAUUCGUAGAACAACGAGCUUCGAAGAAGAAAAUACUGUGUCCAUGGGACUUCAUGAAAUACUCUGAAUCAGUAGCUGAAGUACAUGUAAAAGCAACAUCAAAACACAACAAACUCUACCGUGAACAUUUCCACCAUGAAAUCACCGGACCACAACAGGAAGAUAUGUUUUCAUCACCGGAAAGCCAUGAACAUCGUUCCAACGCCUCAUAUCUGCACAAAAAC